CCUACAGAUUCAUCACACAUCAGAACUCUGAAUGGAUGCACAUGCAGUUAGUCUGUUGCAAAGACGCUACUAAUUAGGAAUGUCAGCACUGGUGUUGCGGUUCCCAUAUUUGUGAUGGAUGAUCAGUAAUACAACUCCCAGAAAGAAGCAGAUGGAGCCAACAGUGAUGUAAGCGAUCCCAAGGAAUGGAUUCUUUCCUCCCAUCCAAGAAAUGGUGCUCAAGAUCAUUCUUUUUCGCCCAUCAAAGCUGCGCACUGGAUAAUCUGAACACAGUAUAGGAAGACUAUGGAUAUUUGCAGCCCAGCACCAAAGCUACCAAUAAUCAGCAUCAUACCGAAGAGCAUUAUUUUCAAUGUCCUCUGCAACAACACAUUUUGAAGAUUCCAAGAGGUUUUGAUCUGCAGAGGAAAAACUGUCUUCCUGUUUGAAAUAUUUCUGCAGUCGCAUGUCUCUGCAAAAGCUUAUUUUUUGGAAAAUAAACUACAAUGGGAUGAUGUUAAACCUAUUGCACCUGCUGAGAACGGAGCAGAACUGGCCUCAAAAUAGGGUCAAUUGUCGACCGAGGGUCAUACAGACUCGAAACGUUAACUCUCUCUCCACAGAUGCUGUCAGACCUGCUAAGUUUUACCAGCAUUUUGUUUUUAUUUCAGAUUUCCAGCAUUCGAAGUAUUUUGCUUUUAUUAAUUGCCGAACAUGUGGCUAGUGCUAUCUUGAAAGGGAAUUGCAUUUGAGCAUCCAAAGUCCCUGGUUCAAGCUGCAAUUUUAGACUGGAACUGGUCUCAGUGUGCAUCAGGCAAGCUCUGAUCAUUCCCUUGGGGUGAUAGUUUUACAGUGCCUCUCUAGCUGCAAAUCUGAAAUUAUUUUGAAGCAUUCUUCUGGGCCCCACAAAAAAAGUGGGUAGCUGCUGCCCUAGAACCCCGCACUUCCUCCCACUCCCAUUCAUACCACCAAAGCAGCUAAGAAAAAUACAGAAUUUUCUUGUUAUACUAUUCGGAAACCAAAGUUCAUAGCUCUCCAUGAAUAUUUCACAUUUUUGAUGACAGUCCUAGAAUGUUUAUCAAAAAAUUAAAAAAAAGUGAUUUCAGUGCGGAUUUCACCUGUAGCAGCAAAAUUCAAAGUUUACAAUUUUUAACCAAAACACUCAAAUACAGUUCAGCAAUAACUCCCAGAAUGUAUCCACAAAGACAACAUAGCAUACAUUGUUUAGUUUACAAAACAAGUGUUGGGGCUUUGCAGAACAUUGUAUUUAUUCAUAUUCAAAAGUAACAUCUUGCAUUUAUAAGGCAUCUUAGUAUAGUAGAACAUUCCAAGGCGCUUCACAGGAUUGCUAACAAUCAAAACUCAACAUCAAGUCACAUAGGAGAUGUGAGGAAUCUUGGUCAAAGUAGGUUUACUGUGAUGCUUUAAGGAGAGAUAGGGAGAAAUAACGGAAGAAAUUCCAGAGUCGGUGCCCAUAUAGCUGAAGACACAGCUACCAAUGGUGGAUUGAUGAAAAUCUAGGAUUUGGAAGAGGUCAAAAUGAAAAUUUUACAACUAAACAACAAUAGGUUCCCUAAAGAACUUUUUGGGAAAGCACUUGGCCACAAUACUGCAGUGUGUUGAGUGGCAAUCGAACAGCACUUUCUACUCUGCCCCAUGCAGGAUAUCCAAAUUUAAAUUGCUGUUGCGCAGCAAGAAAUCCACACUACCCAUCAGAAACCAAAUUAGUGAACAUCUGUUUGCCAGCUCAAAAGUGGUAUUAAUAGAGGGUGAGUGGAAAAGAUAUGCAACCUUUGUCCUUGUCACAAAAUAACAGGAGAAAAUUCAUGAAAUUAGAGAAAAUGACAUGCAAACUUAACAUUUUUUUCUUUCCACAAUUCAGAUGUGCAGAAAGGAUCUCUUUUGAUAAUCAGUACUGUAACUCACAAAAUUGAUCAGUUGUUGAUUUUAUGGUUGAGAUUAAGUCACAGUACCAGUUUGUUGGAUAACACUGGGACAAAGACCUAUUUGCAAGUACAAGAUGCAAUAAAAAUACAACAAAUUUAAA